CUAUUUCUUCAUGAUUAGUGUUUUUCUUUGACAAACAUUUCAGAAUUGCUUUCUGUUCUUGAUGUAUAUGCAAUGUGUAGUUUGCUCUUUCAUCCCAAAAUAGUGGUAGUUACGGCUCCGUUACCUCCGCCGGUUUCCUCAAUGUGGUUCUCUGGUUUAAUUUUCUGCUACUGAUUUGCAUUUAUCCUGGUUUAUUUCUAAUAGCAUUUUUGUCUAUAAUAUGAUCUGUUCCUACAAGGCAGUAGCAGGGUGCUUCGGUUCUGGAGUUUGAAUUUUGGUACAGUUGUGUUAUGCUCAUCACAAGUCAGCUUGUAUUGAGCUUCUGUUUGACACAGUGGGGAGUCUCUUUGUGCCUACAUUUGUGUUGGUUAUCCCCUAAUCACUGAUGCUCAUAAUGCUCUCCACGAGAAGGAAAUUCCCCCAAAACAGGGGUUUUGACCUUGCUCUUGCCACUGCACCGCAUCGCCGUUAUUAUGCGAACCGACUUCAUGAUUCCCUCUCAUAAGGAGUUCAUGAUGAACCGACAAGAUCGAGAUGUGCUCACAUGGCUGGCUAGGUCAAGUUAGCAGGGUGCUUCGGUGUGGUGUUUGAAUUUUGUUUGAUACAGUGGGGAGUUUGUGCCUACAUUUGUGUUGGUUAUCCCCUGAUCACUGAUGCUCAUAAUGCUCUCCACGAGAAGGUAUGAAUUAUAUGGUAUAUGACAGUGACAGUGGCAUUCUUUGAUUUUAAAAUUUCGGUGAUGUAUUAUGGUUGAGAUUGAAUAUUAUUGUAUUUGGGUUUCCAAAUCUGAUGUUUCAUUUUUUCGUUUAUUAUGUUUGGUAUUAUCCCAAACCACUAGAAGU